rnacentral:lncRNA from 1 species
CAAGGCACAGCAAAGCCUGCAGCUUCCAUACCCGUCAUGAGAGCAAAUAACUUAUUUGUAAACCUAAGCACUUAAUUAACUAAAUGGAAAGCAAGGCAGUGAGUGAUUCCUGACAUGGCCGAAUUUAAGUCAAGCUGUGAAGCUCCAGGUGCAGCCAGAAAUGGAGAUGGACAACUUGAACUGAACCCUGAGAGCUUCUAAAAAGGCUUUGGACCACUGCUUCUCAGCAGUUUUUCUUACGGAGUCUCUCUGUGUCGCCCAGGCUGGAGUACAAUGGCGCGAUCUCAGUUCACUGCAACCUCCGCCUCCCAGGUUCAAGCGAUUCUCCUGCCUCAGCUUCCUGAGUAGCUGGGAUUACAGGCACUCACCUCCACGCCCAGCUAACUUUUGUAUUUUUAGUACAGAUGGGGUUUCACCAUGUUGGUCAGGCUGGUCUCGAACUCCUGACCUCGUGAUCCGCCCUCCUCGCCUCCCAAAGUGCUGUGAUUACAGGAGUGAGCCACCGCUCCUGGCCAGAAAUCUCUUCUUUAUUAUGUCUACUGUCCGUUAUCCAACUCCAGAAGAAAUUACCAAGAAAGCCUGGACCCCGGGUGAAACGGAGAAAUGGACACAAGUCCCCUGUGUUUCUCCAUUCUGUUGGUUUUAUGCAUCUUUAUCCAAUCAAGUGCCCUUGGACAAAGCCUGAAACCAGGUAAGAGCCUGACUUUUCUCCAGAGAUGGGCAUGAACUUUUCUUUUUAAAACGUGUGUCACAAAGAAUCCAGGGGUUUCUGACUGUAUGGGACAGAGCUUGCUUCAGAGCGUGCCAGGUGGUUCUAUACACGACCUCACAGGUUCACAGGGACACGUAGCCGUUUGUAAACAGAAAUGAAAUUUUAGAAAAUCAUCCUCGGAUUAAAAGUCUUCUAAGAGUGCCUGCAGCUAGCAGUGAAGUC